UACGUAGGUGACAAGCGUUGUCCGGAAUUACUGGGCGUAAAGAGCUCGUAGGUGGUUUGUCGCGUUGUUCGUGAAAACCGGGGGCUUAACCCUCGGCGUGCGGGCGAUACGGGCAGACUUGAGUACUGCAGGGGAGACUGGAAUUCCUGGUGUAGCGGUGGAAUGCGCAGAUAUCAGGAGGAACACCGGUGGCGAAGGCGGGUCUCUGGGACGUUACUGACGCUGAGACGCGAAAGCGUGGGGAGCAAACAGG
rnacentral:rRNA from 1 species